GCAGGGAGAAGACAAAGCACCACUCGCAGGAACCUGAGGAAGAUGCUGGCAUGUUUGGCUCAUUUAAGCUGGAUAAGACCCAAGUCUCGGAGGCAGCUCUGCAGAUCUGACACUUGGAACGAUAUUCUGGUUUUCACCGGAAAAGUGCCUGGAUCCCGGGACCAGAGGCAGACCCAGCGGGCCCAGAUGAGACCCAGAAGUCUGGGAAGGCACAGGCACCCCUCGCUCCACUCUGGAGACCCCAACUUGUCCAGCUGAGCAGAGAGCAAGAGGAAUAGAGGUGACCUGCCCAGGGUAGCAGGACAGAAUGGGAACCAGGAAGUCCCACAGGACCUGAGUGAGGGAGUGGAGAGCAGAAUGGGGCUGAAAAGUGCGGGACCCAUUGCGAUUCAGCCUCCUCCAAUCUCAGCGAGAGGAAAUUCUCCAGCCUGGGUUAUGCAAACAUCUAGCAAGUUCGCCUUCAAGGGUUUAAUUUGCUUCCCCACUCCUCCACUUUCAGAAGGUGACAAGUGCCAUUCACAAGUCAGUGAGAGCGGGCUGGGCCUGAGCUUCUGGAAGGACCAACACUGUAAAGGACAGUUUGUCCCAAAGCACGUGGGUCACCGCUUUGUCCCGGGAAAUUCACAGCAAGUACCGAGUGGUAUGGCUGAGCCAACUUCUGCCAGCAGGCACAGGGCUGUGUGCAGCUCAGGGGCCUCGGGGGACUCAAGCGUGGCCUCUCCUUUUUUUCUCGCGACAGACUAGCAUUAACCCAGGCAUGGGAGUGAGUGAGCUCUGGAGACAGAUUCUGUUGUGCAAUCAGACAAGUAAUAGCUCCCCAUGAGAGCCUCCACCCACAAUCCCUCCAACUAGCUCACUCUUCCCAGUAUCUGUUGCUAUGUAACAAACCACCCCAAACUUAGUGGCAUAAAACAACAGCAAUGAUUUUAUUAUGUCACGGUUCUGGCAUCAACGAGGCUCGGCUAGGUGGUCUCAGGCAGGGUCCGAGUUGCAACUGAGGUCUCAGUUGCAGCCACAUGGUCCCUGGGGCUGGGGUCAUCUUGCUGUUUGCUCACUCACACAUCUUGCAACUCACACAAUAGAUGCUGGUUAUCAGCUGGGACCUCAACUGGGACUGUGGCCUCCUCGGGCAGCUUGGGCUUCCUCACAACAUGUCGGCCUCACAACAUGUAGGAAAAAGUAUCUCAGGAGGGCCAGGAAGAAGCUGUGUCACCUUCUGUAACUUAGCCUCAGAAGUCACAUAGUGUCACUUCCAUCGUAGCCACAGCCCUGGCCAAGAGGAGGGACAUGGACCCCGCCUCUCAACUGCAGGAGUGACAACUUCAUAUUGCAAAGAUAGCUUGGGAAAUGGAAGAACCUGUGGCCACCUUGUAAAAUACACUGCCACUCCCACCAUUUCCUGCUCUAAUUCCAGUCCAGAUUCUUCCCGGCUUCUGACUCUGUGGACUUUCAUCAGGCACCUAGUGGACGCUCGCUGCUUUCAUUAACAUCCACACAUUAACUCUCCACAGCUCCACUUUGCGGUCGGCCUGCAAUAUUCCCAUCUCACAACCAUGGGCUCUGAGGAUCAGAAAGUCUAAGGCACCUGCCCAAGUUCCCACAGCUGUUCAGCAGUUUUAGGGAAUAUCGGUAGCUUUGGAUGCCUCUUCUGGUCACUGUCCUUGCAUUUCCUCGAAGAUGACCCCUCCCUCACCUCAGACCAUGUGGUUUGGGGCUAGUCUGACUCCACCCAUUGGUCCAUAGAUGGGCAUGUGACUAAAGCCUGGCCAAUCAGAAUUUUCCAAACCUGUAGCCUCAGUGAUUGGUUCAGGGACCAUCAGGUGACCCAGUUUGGUCCACUCAGAGAUAAUCCUAGAACAGUUGGGAAGAGAGAAUUUUGGGGGUGACUAACCACCAUGAAUGCUCAGCUGAGCCUGCUGGGAUGCCUUUUCCAUGUUGAGGGCGAGGCCUACAUGAGAAUAAAACCAACAUAGACAAAAAUGACCACGAGACAGAAAGAGAUAGCAUCCUGAGGUCGGUGCUUGAGCCCCUGGAUCCAGCCAUACCUGAAGUUGGCCCUACCCUUGGACUUUGUCAUUAUAAAAGCCAAUAUCUUUUCUUUUUAACUGAGGCCAUUUUGAGUUGAGGUUUCUAGGCUAAGCAAAAGACUCUUGGCCUAUAAUGAGGCAGAAAAAGAAUUUGAGUCCAAGCCUAUCUAAGUCCAAAUUCCAAAUUCUUUCCCCAGAACCAUGCCACCUCCCUGAGUCCCAUCCACCUUCCAUGUCCAGAUCAAUCCUUCCUUUUCUGUGAUACCUUCCCUACAAACAUCAGCUCAGAGCAUCUCUCCUCAACUCUAAUUGUUGGAGUUUGUGGCCUUUGGUCUAAGUGCUUUACAGGGAGGGCCCCCCUGAUCCACACUAUACCCUCUUCUGUAAUCACGGGUGCUUGAAGUUUCACCAUCAGAGCAGAAUUCCUUUGGAUUAAGCAUUGCCCUCCUCAAGUGAUUGUUUUAAAAUCCUGAUCCCCUGAGAGUGGAACUCGACUCACUAUGGCCCAAGGAAAAAUGGAUACGGGUGUUCAGGUUGGAGAUACAGGGCAGUGAAACCAUGAAGGCGGGUGUGUUUGAUUCUGACCAGAAAGGAGGACGUGGCAUUUAAGCUGCAUCUUAAAAAAAAAAAAAAAAAAAAAAAAGACAGGAUUUGACAGUCAGGGAUGUGGGAAAGGGCAUCGGAGGUGGAAAGAGCAGACUAAGAUGUGAGAAUUUGUGGGGUACAUUCAGGAAACAGCGUAAAAUUAGCUGCUGUGGAUGGUGUGUGAUAUAGGACAGAAGGCUGCUCAGAUAAUCCUGGGAACAUGAAACACCAGGCUGAGGAAGUUGAUCCUUAUUUUCCUGGCAAUAGGGAGCCACUGAAGGUGCUCGAGCAGUGGGGAGAGCCUCAAUCAGAGCAGCACUUUAGGAAGGUUAAUUUGUGCCCGGGGGUGAGGGAGGGAGUGGCUUGAAGAGGCCAGAGGCAGGGCCAAGGGAAGCCGAGAGAGAAAUGAGUUCAUCUGAAUAAGAGUCAGACAAUGGAUGGGUUAGGAGUGAUGGGGGACAUUCCUGGGGACAACUGCCUUGAUAUAGACACAGACUGGGUGCCAGCACAGGGGUGGAGCAUUAGAGCAGCCUGUGUUUUGGCCCCUUUGCCACGCGACGUCCAGGCUCAGCAUCUUCCUCCUUGAAGAAUGGCAUCCAGGGAAUUCUCUGGUGGUCCAGUGGUUAGGACUCGGUGCUUUCACUGCCGUGGUCCUGGGUUCGAUCCCCGGUCAGGGAAUUAAGAUCCCACGGCCAAAAAGAAAAAAAGAAAAGAAUGGCCUCCAUCCCCAGCCCUCCACAUAUAGAUCCAUGAUGUGCAGACCAGGAUGGCGUUACUUUGCAUUGCUGAGCAGCUUUCCACUGUGUGGACGUACCACAACUCACUCACCUAUUCACUGCUGGUGGACAUUUGGGUAGUUCCCAGUAAGCCCCUUUUUAAGUGUCAAUAGAUGUCACCUCGCUCAAAGCAAUAAAAUCUGAGAAAGCGCUGAUGGGAUGGGCCAGCUAUCUUUUAUCUAGUACACCUUAAAACAAAUGCAUAAGUAUCACAAAUCACACAUGUUUGUCCAGGACCAUCUUUCUCCUGCUCGGGGCUCGCUCUGGCAGAGGCUGUGGGAAUUGCUGUUGCAGUGGUUGUGUUGUUGCAUGAGGAUGCUGCCGCGGGACCGGAGAUGGGCAUGGACGCCAAGCCUCUUCUCAUCCUUGGACGAGAGGCCUUCUGGAAGCCGCUCUGGCUGGGCCCCUGCCCCCCACCUCCAGUCUCAGCUGGAUGGAGACAUUGAGCCCAAUUCAUGCUGCCUUCAAAGGGCUCCUGUCUGAACCAGGCUCUUGGGCUAACCUCGGCCAAAUCCUCGCCUAGGGAAACACACUGGGCCCUUGUUCAGACGGAGGCCCGCCUGCAGGAGGUCAGCCCAGCUGCGAGGGCAGAAUCCCCAUCUCAGCCGUGGAGUGUGGCACGGGGGCUUCCUGGGCUCGCUGCCCGCCAGCCCCAGGCCCGCCACCCUAGACGAGACAGAGGCUGCCUGGGAAGGCGGAAGCCUCACCUGGGGGUUCCCACACGUGUCCGCUGCUGAGUCGGGAAGGGCCAGUCCCUCGGCCUGGGGUGUGGAUUGCGCUCCCCUCUACCGCUCAGAAACUAAACGCAAUCCAUUUUCCUUUCUUCCUCCUGGGAUCUGAA